rnacentral:rRNA from 1 species
GAGUUUGAUCAUGGCUCAGAUUGAACGCUGGCGGCAUGCCUUACACAUGCAAGUCGAACGGCAGCACGGGAGCUUGCUCCUGGUGGCGAGUGGCGAACGGGUGAGUAAUGCAGUCGGAACGUAGUCCUGGAGUGGGGGAUAACGUAGCGAAAGUUACGCUAAUACCGCAUAUUCUGUGAGCAGGAAAGCGGGGGACCUUCGGGCCUCGCGCUCUUGGAGCGGCCGAUGUCGGAUUAGCUAGUUGGUGAGGU